GACGAACGCUGGCGGCGUGCCUAAUACAUGCAAGUAGGACGCAGUUGCGAACGGGUGAGUAACGCGUCGGUAACUGCCUAUUAGAGGGGGAUAACUAUUGGAAACGAUAGCUAAUACCGCAUACUAGUAGAUGGACCUGCGUUGUAUUAGCUAGUAGGUAGGGUAAUGGCCUACCUAGGCAACGAUACAUAGCCGACCUGUGAGGGUGAUCGGCCAACCUGGGACUGGGGAACGGCCCAGAAUCCGACGGGAGGCAGCAGUAGGGAAUCUUCGGCAAUGGGGGGAACCCUGACCGAGCAACGGCGCGUGAGUGAAGAAGGUUUUCGGAGCGUAAAGCUAUGUUGUGAAGGAAGCGGUACUUAACCAGAAAGGGACGGCUAACUACGUGCCAGCAGCCGCGGUAAUUC
rnacentral:rRNA from 1 species